rnacentral:rRNA from 1 species
AACCAGACAUAGCCCAAAACUAAAUACGUAUAAUUACCCAAUAUUAUUAAAAUAAAAUAUUUAUUUAUAGCCAAAGUAUAGAAGAUAGAAAUGACAUAUGGCGCCAUAGAGAGAGUACCGCAAGGGAAAAAUGAAAGAAGACUUAAAGUAAAAAACAGCAAAGCUUAUCCCUUGUACCUUUUGCAUAAUGACUCAACUAGAACAAACUAGCAAAAAGAAUUAAAGUUAGUAUCCCCGAAACCAGACGAGCUACCUAUAUAGCAGCCUAAAGGGCAAACUCAUCUAUAUGGCAAAAUAGUGAGAGGACUAAUAGGUAGCGGCGACAAACCUACCGAGCCUGGUGAUAGCUGGUUGUCCAGAGUGGAAUUUUAGUUCCAACUUAAAUUCUACCAAAAAAAAACAAAUUAAAAUGUAGCUUUAAGUAAUAAUCUAAAAAGGUACAGCUUUUUAGACACGGAUACAACCCCUCAUUAGAGAGCUAAUUUAAGUAAAUCACGAUAGUUGGCCUAAAAGCAGCCACCAAAUGAGACAGCGUUCAAGCUCAACAAUUUGUAAAACUAAUUCCAACUACAACAAUUAAUACUCCUAAUAAAAAACUGGACCAAUCUAUUUUCCUAAUAGAGGUAACAAUGUUGAUAUGAGUAAUGAGAAGCAUUUCUCCUUGCACGUGUGUAUAUCAGACCGAAUAAAUCACUGAUAUUUAACAAUAUAAAUAUAUGUAUAUACUAAAAUUUCAUUUAUUAAUUGUUAGCCCAACACAGGAGUGCAGCUAAGGAAAGAUUAAAAAAAGUAAAAGGAACUCGGCAAAUAUAAACCCCGCCUGUUUACCAAAAACAUCACCUCUAGCAUAAAAAGUAUUAGAGGCAUUGCCUGCCCAGUGACAUUAGUUCAACGGCCGCGGUAUCCUGACCGUGCAAAGGUAGCAUAAUCAUUUGUUCUCUAAAUAAGGACUUGUAUGAAUGGCCUCACGAGGGUUUAACUGUCUCCUACUUUUAAUCAGUGAAAUUGACUCUCCCGUGAAGAGGCGGGGAUUAAAUAAUUAGACGAGAAGACCCUAUGGAGCUUUAAUUAACUAGUUCACAAAUUAUAAUUAAACUCCAAAAGAAAUAAACCCAUUUUAAUUGAACUAGUAAUUUAGGUUGGGGUGACCUCGGAGUAAAAAUUAACCUCCGAGAGAAACUGUUAAGACCUACAAGUCAAAACUACUUCACUAAACACUGAUCCGCCACUGGCGAUCAACGGAAUAAGUUACCCUAGGGAUAACAGCGCAAUCCUAUUUAAGAGUCCCUAUCGACAAUUAGGGUUUACGACCUCGAUGUUGGAUCAGGACAUCCCAAUGGUGCAGCAGCUAUUAAUGUGUUCGUUUGUUCAACGAUUAAAGUCCUACGUGAUCUGAGUUCAGACCGGAGUAAUCCAGGUCGGUUUCUAUCUAUUUAUAAGUCCCUCCCAGUACGAAAGGAUAAGAGAGACAGGGCCUACUUUAAAUAAGCGCCCUAGAGGAACGGAUGAACUAAUCUUAAUCCUAUUAUAAUUAUAAUAACCCAAGAUAAGGGCUU